CCCAGCCCCACCCCCUCUGGGUCAUCAGCUGGGUGGUCUUCUAGGAGAGCCCCUCAGUCACUGCCCAACUGUGACAGCUGUGCAGAGCCCGGCUCUGACUCCCUCCUUGUGUCCUGGGCUCCCUGUCUUUUGAGCAGGACUGGAGUGUGAGAGGGUGUCUGCCCCUCCUGUCAUCUGUCCCUUUCCUUCUAAGGCCUGAGGAGGAAGCCAUGCUGUGGGCUCUCGCCCUCCUUCUAGCUUUCCUGGCUCCUGCCACUCAGGUGUCUUCCAACUUGGAAGGGACACAGAUGUCAGUCACCAGGCAAGCUGGGUCAUCUGCUGUGAUCACUUGUGAUAUUAAACAAAGCAACAACUAUGUCCACUGGUACCGAUACCAGGAGGGGACGGCCCCACAACGCCUUCUCUACUACCAGCUCUCCAGCUCAAAGUUUGUGAUGGACUCAGGGUUCAGUUCACAGAAAUACCAUGCUUAUGCAGGCACAGGGAAGACCUGUGAACUUUUAAUCAAAAUUCUAGAAGAAAGUGAUUCUGGUGUGUAUUACUGUGCUGUCUGGGAGAAUAGAUCAAACUGGAUCAAGAAAUUUGGAAAAGGAACUAAGCUCAUAGUAACUCCAUCUGGCAGACGCCUUCCUGCAGACAUUUCCCCCAAACCCACCAUCUUUCUUCCAUCAAUUGCUGAAAUAAAGCUCCAGAAGGCUGGGACAUAUCUUUGUCUUCUUGAGGAAUUCUUCCCUGAUGUUAUCAAGGUAUUUUGGAAAGAAAAGAACAGCAAUACAAUUCUGGAAUCCCAGCAGGGAAAUACCAUGAAGACUGAUAACACUUACAUGAAACUCAGCUGGCUGACCGUGACUGGAAAGUCAAUGGAUAAAGAACACAGAUUCAUUGUCCAACAUGAGAACAAUAAAGGAGGGGUUGACCAAGAGAUUCUUUUUCCUUCAGUCAACAAAGUUGUCACCUCAAUGGCCACUACUACUGGUCCUACAAAGGCUUCUCCGACAGAGGAGAGCAUUGCCACUACUCCUGAUUCUACAAUAGUUUCCCCAACAGAGGAAAGUGAGCUCGCUGCUCUUAAUUACACACAAGCUUGUCUGAAUGACGAAAGCGACACCCUGCGGCUGCAGCUCACCAACACCUCUGCCUAUUACACCUACCUCGUGUUCCUUCUCGUGAGCGCAGUCUACCUUGCCACCGUCGCCUUGUGUGUGUUAAGGAGAACAGCAGUCUGCGGCAAUGGAAAGAUUUCGUAACAGAUGGUGACCCAAGAAAUCAACUUUCCUCCAUUGUUUAUAUUCCCUAAAACUUUCUGCUGAGGAUCUAGUCGGACUUUCUCUCUGGGUUUGGGUUAUUUCAGCUCACAUGCGUACUUUUCUGUUAUGUCAUUAUUGUGUAAUGGUUUUUCAAAUCACUGGACAAACAGAAAAUCCUACUCUGUAACGAUGCUGAAUACUGCCACUACUCAGGGGCAGGGCCAAGCGGUAGUCCUUUAGCACCACUCUCUCCAUGAUCUCCAUCAGCUCCUCCAACAACCCGAAUAACCAUGCCUUCUGAGUACAGACAGCAUGCAGCUCUAGUCACGUCGCUUAGGACCUUUUAACCAGAACCGCCUUGAAGCCUUCCAUUUUACACAUCCUAAUCUGACAUCAUUGGUACUUAAAUUCUAUAUUUUGUUUUUCAUAAUAGGAUCAAUAAAAAACAUCAAAAGUCUA